rnacentral:rRNA from 1 species
UGGGGAAUUGUUCACAAUGGGCGCAAGCCUGAUGACGCAACGCCGCGUGGGGGAUGAAGGUCUUCGGAUCGUAAACCCCUGUCGAAUGGGACGAAAGACUCGCGAGUGAAUACUUCGCGAGAGUGACGGUACCGUUAAAGGAAGCCACGGCUAACUCUGUGCCAGCAGCCGCGGUAAUACAGAGGUGGCAAGCGUUGUUCGGAAUUACUGGGCGUAAAGGGCGCGUAGGCGGCCCUCUAAGUCAGACGUGAAAUCCCCCGGCUUAACCUGGGAACUGCGUCUGAUACUGGAGGGCUUGAGUAUGGGANAGGGAUGUAGAAUUCCAGGUGUAGCGGUGAAAUGCGUAGAUAUCUGGAGGAAUACCGGUGGCGAAGGCGGCAUCCUGGACCAUUACUGACGCUGAGGCGCGAAAGCUAGGGGAGCAAACGGGAUUAGAUACCCCUGUAGUCCCUGAGCGGGCUGGCAAGGCGCAU